rnacentral:rRNA from 1 species
ACAGAGGGUGCAAGCGUUGUUCGGAAUUAUUGGGCGUAAAGGGUGCGUAGGCGGUGCGGUAAGUCUGUAGUGAAAUCUCUGGGCUCAACUCAGAGUCUGCUAUAGAAACUGCCGUGCUCGAGUAUGGGAGAGGUGAGUGGAAUUCCGAGUGUAGAGGUGAAAUUCGUAGAUAUUCGGAAGAACACCAGUGGCGAAGGCGACUUACUGGACACAUAUUGACGCUGAGGUGCGAAAGCGUGGGGAGCAAACAGGA